ensembl:lincRNA Gm17382 predicted gene, 17382
GGGAAAACCGAUGUGGCAUGCUCUUCCCAGGCAACUGUGCUGGGACAGGGUCCCGCAAACGUCGCGGGAGAAAACCCGAAGACAUGAGAUGCUCCCAGUGCGGUCCAACAGGUGUAUUUUAAAUAUAUGUCCCCAGGUCCAUGACUGAAGAAAAUUCUGGAAGGACUCCCAGGAAGUUAUUUCUUUUUUCUGCUUGCUGUGAUAUUGACGAGAAAACGGUGAUGACAUCUUUUUGGCUGGAUGGAACUGAUGGAAGAUUUAUGGAGCAGCUGAGGACUGUCAGAGCCAGACCCAGCAGAUUUCCUAAGAGAAUGACCAUGGCCUUUUCAUCAGCGAGCACACUGCCUUCUGAAAUGGUCUAACAUGAGAGAGAGAGAGAGAGAGAGAGAGAGAGAGAGAGAGAGAGAGAGAGAGAGAGAGGGAGGGAGAGGGAGAGGGAGAGGGAGAGAGGGAGAGAGAGCCCUAUCUAACCAGCCAUCAGUGAGGUUAUCCCUGUACCCCACAGCUGCUGCCACCCAAUCUGAAGGUUCCCGCUUCUGCUCUUGAAGUAUUUAUUGUAUGUGACCACACAGAAGUCCUAGCUGUCACCCACCGUCAAACCCCCUAGCCCCAGUCUGGGACCCAGAGCCCUCCAGGAGUGGGAAACUUCAUCCUAUACCUUCUCAGUCACAGGGAUUUCAGAAAUUAGUCACAGGAAGCAGGGAGGCCGAGAGUGGAGGCUUCCAAGAGGAGCCAGUAACAGGAUCUGGGAUCUUUCACCCCAGGUCACAGAAGCUUAGACUGUCCCCAAGGUAGAGAUGAGUGGUCAAGGAUGGAACCGGCCUUCCCAAGGCUUCUGCCAGCAGCAAGAGCUUUGGGGAGAUGGAACCUAUAGCCAGGCAGUCGUCCCCUCACUGACUGCUCUCUCCCGUAUCUCAAAUGUCUGUCCUAAUACUCUCAACUCUGAGAGACAACAAGGGGUUGACUGGAGCCCAGAACCCAGCAUGUAUCUGAAACAAAGUCUUGACCUGACUUCCAGCCCUCCCCUCAUGAAUGAACACUGUUGCAUCUCAGAGUACUCUCAGACAUCCCAGAAUUGUCACUCACAGACAUCUCAUGUGGACAGACAGUAAAUGAUAAUCAUUCUGAAGGUAUGGAAAAGUUGUGGGGUGGUAGAGGCAGAAGGCACUGGGUUCAAUCCUCUAUAUGGAGAGAAAGAUGAUAGAUAGAUAGAUAGAUAGAUAGAUAGAUAGAUAGAUAGAUAGAUGAUAGAUAGAUAGACAGACAGAUAAAUAGAUAGAUCAGAGACACACACUAAAUAUCUACCAACAGAAAAUAGUUUAGGGCUGGUGAGAUAGCUCAGCAGUUAAGAGCACUGACUGCUUUUCCAAAGGUCCCAAGUUCAAAUCCCAGUCACCACAUGGUAGCUCACAACCCUCUAUAAGGAGAUCUGAUGCCCUCUUCUGGAGUAUCUGAAAACAGUUACAGUGUAGUUACAUAUAAUAAAUAUAUC